AGGUGCUUUGGAAUAAGCUCUUCUAAAAACGUAAGGCCAAAGGAUAGGACGGCGGCGGAUUAGGUAGUUGGUGAGGUAACGGCUCACCAAGCCCGAGAUCCGUAGGGGUCCUGAAAGGGAGAGCCCCCAGAAGGGCACUGAGAUACUGGCCCUAGCCCUACGGGGUGCAGCAGGCGCGAAAACUUUCCAAUGCACGCAAGUGUGAGAAGGGAAUCCCGAGUGCUUAUACACAGUAUAGGCUUUUGCCAAGGGUAAAUACCUUGGAGAAUAAGUGGUGGGCAAUACCUGUGCCAGCCGCCGCGGUAACCCAGGAACCACAAGUGGCAACCGCUUUUAUUGGGCCUAAAGCGUCCGUAGCCGGAUCUGUAAAUCUUCUGUGAAAUUCUUCGGCUUAGCCGAAGAGCUGCAGGAGACACUACAUUUCUAGGGACCGGGAGGCGUGAGGGGUAUUUCGGGGGGAGCGGUAAAAUGUUAUAAUCCUCGAAGGACCACCUGUGGCGAAGGCGCCUCACGAGAACGGAUCCGACGGUGAGUGACGAAAGCUAGGGGAGCAAAACGGAUUAGAUACCCGAGUAGUCCUAGCCGUAAACGCUGCAAACUAGGUGUCGCACAAUCUUCGGGAUUGUGCGGUGUCGUAAUGAAGAUGUUAAGUUUGCCGCCUGGGAAGUAUGGUCGCAAGGCUGAAACUUAA
rnacentral:rRNA from 1 species